AGGAUCUACACCCCGAUUUUGUUGAUGACUUUGGACAAGAGGCAAGGUACACCCUGGACUCGUCGCCAGCCAAUCACAGGUUGGCAAUUUUGAGUCUUCAAUAAACCUAACAUUUUUGUGGGACAAUGUGGGAGGAAGCUGCGGUACCCGAAGAAAACCCACGCAAGCACAAGACGUUGGAAACCUUACCUGCAGGAGACUCUCUGGCUUCCUCUACCCUCUGGAGCCACUGCAAGACAGACCCGGCCACGAUGGGUGUGUUGGGUCACGGCCAUGCUGGAGCCUAUCCCAGCUGACUCUGGGCGAGAGGCGGGGUACACCCUGAACUGGUCGCCAGCCAAUCGCAGGUCACAUAUAAAUAAACAACCAUUCACACUCACAUUCACACCUACGGGCAAUUUAGAGUCUUCAAACAAUCUACCAUGCAUGUUUUUGGGAUGUGGGAGGAAACCGGAGUACCUGGAGAAAACCCAUGCAGAAUUGGGGGGAACAUGCAAUCUCCACACU